GCAGCAGGUUUAAGGUAGAUGGCCUCUCUUAUCACUGAGCUCGAAGCAUUGACCAUCAUCUUCUCCAUUCUGGUUUUCGCCCUCUUCACACUCACUGGGAUGAUUAAUGAGGAGUGUCCACUUUUGAAUGACGUAAAACCACAGGGUGAAGAGCUGUUGGUGUGACGAGGCUGAUGACUGACACUGAAACAACAGGAAGCAACGGUGAUAUCUGACUGGAUUCUUACGAAAAGCCAAAACUGUGUGGUGUGAAAACUGCUUUUUUUUUUUAGAGCAGAGAGAAAACUCUGAAUGUGUGUAUUUGUGUAAGUAUGUGCACACACAUUUCUGUGUGCAUGUGCGUGCAUGCAGGAUCUAGUGUUAUUUGCUUCCAAGAUAAGGUGGUAGUUUACGUAGUGCACCGUUUAAAAAAAAAAAAAAAAAAAAAAGUCAAUAAAGAAACACCCACUCCACCAAACUGCCACAUGACAGUAUCUCACACUUGUCAUCUAUCAUUCCUCUUGUUGGGAUGUAAGGACACAAC